UUGCGUUAGGGAUUGAAGCGGCAUCCUUUUGUUUUUUCUACAAAAGAUAUAGCUGAAAGCCCGACCUUUU
rnacentral:sRNA from 1 species